GCGGCGGUGGUAGACAAGCAAUGCACAGGACUCCAAACCCUGGAAAUGUAGGGGCAGUACCCACCCGCCGCGCCA
rnacentral:tRNA from 1 species